rnacentral:rRNA from 1 species
CGCGAAUCAUCGAGUCUUUGAACGCAAGUUGCGCCCGAGGCUUGUCCGAGGGCAUUUCCGCUAGAGCGUCACCGCG